UACGUAGGCAGCGAGCGUUGUUCGGAGUUACUGGGCGUAAAGGGUGUGUAGGCGGUUUUCUAAGUCUGGUGUGAAAUCUCCCGGCUCAACUGGGAGGGUGCGCCGAAAACUGGAAGGCUAGAGUGCGGGAUGGGUAAGUGGAAUUCUUGGUGUAGCGGUGAAAUGCGUAGAUAUCAAGAGGAACACCUGAGGUGAAGACGGGUUGCUGGGCUGACACUGACGCUGAGGCGCGAAAGCCAGGGGAGCAAACGGG
rnacentral:rRNA from 1 species